AUUGAACGCUGGCGGCACGCCUAACACAUGCAAGUCGAGCGGCAGCGCGAUAUGUAGCAAUACAUAUUGGCGGCGAGCGGCGGACAGGUGAGGAACACGUAGGAACCUACCCUCGAGUGGGGGAUAACCAAGGGAAACUUUGGCUAAUACCGCAUGAACUCGAGAGAGCAAAGCUGCCGCAAGGUGGCGCUCGAGGAGGGGCCUGCGUCCGAUUAGCUAGUUGGUGAGGUAAGAGCUCACCAAGGCGAUGAUCGGUAACUGGUCUGAGAGGACGACCAGUCACACUGGGACUGAGACACGGCCCAGACUCCUACGGGAGGCAGCAGUGGGGAAUAUUGGACAAUGGGGGCAACCCUGAUCCAGCGAUGCCGCGUGAGUGAAGAAGGCCUUCGGGUCGUAAAGCUCUUUAGGUUGGGAAGAAGGGUGAUGGAGGAAAUGCUAUCACUUUGACGGUACCGACAGAAUAAGCACCGGCAAACUCUGUGCCAGCAGCCGCUGUAACAC
rnacentral:rRNA from 1 species